rnacentral:rRNA from 1 species
AAGGAUUCCCUCAGUACGGGCGACGGAAGCGGGAAAAGCCCACAUUGGUAAUCUCCGGGCGGUAGCUCGGCGAAUUGUAAUCUGAAGAUCGUUAGUCUAAUUGGGCCCGACGCCGAAGUGCGCGCGAGCGCGCCGCCAAAGAGGGUGAGAGCCCCGUCAGGCGCUGGGCCCUACACGGGCUGGCAAUCGAAGAGUCGUGUACUUUGAUACUAGUGCACCAAGCGGGAGAUAAACUUCUUCUAAGGCUAAAUAUAAGUAGGAAACCGAUAGCGAACAAGUACUGUGAAGGAAAGAUGAAAAGCACUUUGGAAAGAAAGUUAAAAGACUUGAAAUCGUUGAGGCGGACCCGGUAGAAAUGUAUUCUAGCGAAGCGCUCGGGGAAGCCUGUAUUCGGGCCACUUGAGAGCUAGCCGAGACAAGAUGGAGUCGCAUCAUGCCAGAGGCGGCAUGCUCUGUAGCUUGCUAUAGAGCGCGCUGGCCGGGUGUGGCGCGGCUUGAGGGGCCUUGUGCGAUCUUGUCAAAAUGGUUUUUACCGACUCGUCUUGAAACACGAACCAAGGAGUCUAAGACUAACGCGAGUGUGGUGGUGGAGAAACCAACACGCGAAAUGAAAGUAAAUGAUGCCAAGAACCCUGCAGCAUCGACCGACUUUUUUCUCUUGGAAGAGGUUUGAGUAAGAGCGUUAUUCUUAGGACCCGAAAGAUGGUGAAACUAU